AUGGGUGAGCUUGCACCAGGGCCUGAGGGAGAGUGUGAAGUUGGGGCCGCCGAUGAAGUGGUCGUCGGAGAUCCUAUCCUUGAUCGGCUGGGAUCUGCAAAGGAUCAAGAAGUCCUCUGGUUGGUGUGGUGGAUGGAGAAGUCUCCCAGCUGCAGCUCGAACGUGGCGUACAGGACAUUGGCAACCUCAUCAGCGGAGACCCCUGGCCGGGUGCCGAUGAUGAUUGCCACCAUGCCGCGCCACAGCACCACCUCCGUGUCCUCCAUCUUGACGCUGCGGGAGAUGAUGACGCGCCCUUGA
rnacentral:rRNA from 1 species